rnacentral:rRNA from 1 species
GAUGAACGCUGGCUACAGGCUUAACACAUGCAAGUCGAGGGGCAUCAGGAAGAAAGCUUGCUUUCUUUGCUGGCGACCGGCGCACGGGUGAGUAACGCGUGGGUAACCUGCCUCAUACAGGGGGAUAACAGUUAGAAAUGACUGCUAAUACCGCAUAAGCGCACAGUGCUGCAUGGCACGGUGUGAAAAACUCCGGUGGUAUGAGAUGGACCCGCGUCUGAUUAGCUAGUUGGUGGGGUAACGGCCUACCAAGGCGACGAUCAGUAGCCGGCCUGAGAGGGUGAACGGCCACAUUGGGACUGAGACACGGCCCAA